GGGAUAUUAGCUCAGUUGGUUUAGAGCGCUGUCUUGACAGGGCAGAGGUCACUGGUUCGAAUCGAAUCCAGCAUAUCCCC
rnacentral:tRNA from 1 species